rnacentral:rRNA from 1 species
UACAGAGGUCCCGAGCGUUGUUCGGAUUCACUGGGCGUAAAGGGUGCGUAGGUGGCUUUGCAAGUCUGAUGUGAAAUCUCCGGGCUUAACCCGGAAAUGGCAUUAGAAACUGUGAGGCUUGAGGCUUGGAGGGGGAACUGGAAUUCUCGGUGUAGCAGUGAAAUGCGUAGAGAUCGGGAGGAACACCUGUGGCGAAGGCGGCCCCCUGGUUGGAUACUGACGCUGAUACGCGAAAGCGUGGGGAGCAAACAGG